AGCCUCUGGCUACUACAUGCUGAGCUCGUGUGCGUGCAUGCACGCUUGCUUACACACACACACACACACACACACACACACACACACACACACACACACGACAAGCGAGUGAUUCUCCAAAACAAAUUCAGGCAGAAGGGCAGGUAGGCUCUGAAGCGUUUACCUAGGCCGUGGCUGGCAGCCUGAGAACACCCUUCCCUCCGUGUCAAGUCUGUACUCAAAGAAGAAAAACUUAAACAAAUAAAUAAACAAAAAAAGCAGCUGAGCAGGGCAGCCGCACCCAGCAUCCUGGCCGCGGCGGGAACAUUCCGUCUCGGAACCCCGGUGGGUCUCUGUUUGUGCAGGCAGAGCUGUCUGACGCCAUUGCCCGCAGCUGGCAUCUCUGCCCUGGAGCCUCAGCGCCAUGGCCCAACCCUCCCUCUGUGGGCUGGGCCUUUCAGGACUACAUCUGUGAGCACUGUGCUGGUAAGCUGACAGAGGGUCAGUACCGGGCUCGGCUACACCCUUCGCUAUAGUAGAGAUGUCAUUGUCCCCAACCCCGCAGAGUAGCAAAGACCUGAGAGAAGCCCCGACAGCAUCCUGUCCACAAGGAAGAUUCCUCAUCUUGACUGCAGCCUGCUCUCCCUUCAAUAGAGAGAGACAAGAUCCCUACCUCGUGCCAUGGGGCCCAGAGGAGACAAGAUUAAUGGAUGGGUAAUAUGUUGGGCAACGUGCAGUGGGGCUGUUUGGCACGUCCCUUUAUCUUUCUGUCGCUUGGGUGACGCCUUAUACAGAACUAAGGGACACACAGCUGCCUGGGCUGGUGAUUGCCUUGAUUUUCACUAAAUCCUUUCUACCGUGAUCACUGCCGGCGAGCAGCUCUUCUGAACUCUUCCAGCAUCUGGAACAGCCUGGACCGGCAGAAACACCCACAGAUGUAAUUAGCCCAGGAAGCUGAGCUGCGUCACCUCACACGGGUUCUGAAGCUCCGGUGUUUGCUGCCCCUUGCUCAUUCCCACGCGUAUUUUUAAGCCUUCCUGCCUGGCUGCCUGGCUUGAGGUAUCCCUGGGGCUCAAGUGAUGUGUGUUGACAUUCUCCCGAAGUUACAGAAGUCCUUAAUGAUCCAAAUUUAAAAUAUCAUCUCCCCAGACAGAUAGAUUGGUGGUGAUCUGCCUCUGGACUAGAUUGGUUCAAAUUAAAUUUGACCUAAGGAGGCCUCCGGAGGGGUGCCUAGGUCAGACUUUGCAGCCUGGUGUGGCCAACUAAGCCUAGUGGCUCUAUAACAAAAGCAGGCCUGGCUGCUGCUGGCCCAACCAAUCACAGGCAGAGGUUGGACUCAAGCCAGCCUCAGAUCUUGCUCAGGAGAUCUGCACGGUCCCCAUCACUGUGCCUCCAUCCGGCUGGAUUUCCAGGGCAUGCUGCCUGACAGAACUGGGAACCUUUCUGAGGGAUGCCUGGGCCAAGCGUCAGAGGAGCUGAGGACCCAGGCACACCUGCUCUCACUUUGUCUUCAGGAAUUGAUUUUUAACCUUCUUUCUUGGGGGGGGGGGGUUACAUGUGUGUGGUUCGUGCACACACUUAUGUGUUCCAGCCUAUGUGUUUGAAGAGACCAGAGGAAGCCCUUGGGCAUUCUACUCUGUCACUCUCUGCCUUGUUCCUUUGAGACAGGCUCUCUCACAGAACCCGGAACUAGGCCAGACAACCUCAGCAAUCUCUGUGUCCGCUCCACCCCACAGCACUGGGUAACAGACGUGCGUGGCUUUUAUCGUGGGUGCUGGGAUCCAAACUCAGGUCCUGGUGCCUGCACAGUCAAGUGUGUGACUGGCUGAGCCUUCUCUCCAUUCCUGUAACAGUGUAACAUCUGGGUGGAGUUGCCUUCACCUAGACAUCCCUCAAAUAGCUAGUCAGCGAUCCCUUUAUCUUUUAACUUUAUCCCUGUGAACUUUUAUUAUGAAAUUACCUUACACAAUCAUAGACAAGCAUAUAGCAACUACCCUGUACCCAACUCCCCUGCCACCUCCAAUACUGUCCAAGGACCAGCGGCACCCUGCCCCAACCCCCUGCCAUACAACCCCUGACAUAUUUCCUCCUUUCGGUGAUCACUGGGCAGAGGCAUCUCAGGAUGGUAAUUACUUGUAGAAUAAUCCCAAUACCAUGAUCAAUUCCAGGAAAAGAGCUUGACACCCGCCCCCACUCCCGCCCCCCAGGUUUGUCACAGCUGUGGCUUUUGUCUGUCAGCAGUCUGGCUUCACUUGAAGGUUGGGGUCUAGGCUGUGUCCAGGGCUGCACAUGGCCACCAGGUCUCCUGCAUCUGUUUUUUUUUUUUUCCCCAUGUGUUUGUUGAGGAAGCGUCAUGCUCUCCUAGUUCCCAGAUUACUCAUGGCCUGUGGUACUGUUCAGCAUGGUCUCUGUCUGAGUCAGGGUUUCUAUUACUGCGACAAAACACCAUGACCAAACAGCAGGUUGGGAAGGAAAGUGUUUACCUGGCUUAUACUUUCACACUGCUGUUCAUCCCUGAAGGAAGUCAGGACAGGAACUCAAGCAGGGCACGAACCUGGAGGCAGGAGCUGAUGCAGGUUAUGGAGGGUGCUGCUUACUGACUUGUUCCCCUCGGCUUGCUCAGCCUGCUUUCUUAUAGAACCCAGGAUCACCAGCCCUGGGAUGGCACCACCCACAAGAAGCUGGGUCUUCCCCUGUCAGUGGUUAAUUAAGAGAAUGCCCUACAGCUGGAUCGUAUGGAGACAUUUUCUCAAUCGAGGCACCCUCCUUUCAGAUAACUCUAGCUUGUGUCAAGUUGACAUAAAACUAGCCAGCACAGUCUUCUGUCUUCUGAAAACCUAUGGUUAGGGUAUAGUGUCCCUUUGGUGGUCGUGUGGAGCAGGCUGGCCUUGAACUCAGAGAUCCACCUACCACUGCCUCCCAAGUGCUGUGAUUAAAGGCAUGCGCUACCACUGCCCAGGCCCUUAGCUGACGUCCUCUGUGGAAUUUCCCUCCACCAUUGUUAGCCAGCACAGAUGAUAAAUCCUCGAAGCUGCCUCUUUAUCAGCUUACAGAAUAGUGGCUUUGUUCCCUAUCUGUCUCCAAAGACGAAGAGUUGAUGAACUACAUUUACAAAACCUCACUAUGAUGUCUGGGAGUGUGAGAUGUGUGUCACUUGAGUGUGAGUGUGCCCUCAGACCUGUGUGCUGAAUGCCUAGACCUCAGGUGGUGAGGUGGUGAACUCUACAUAUGUCAGGAGGUAAGCCAGCUGGGAAAGAAACUGAUUGAGGUCUGUCUCUUGUCUCUGAUGUCUUUCUGCCACAUUUGUGAAUACGCACCUCUGUGUGUGUGUGUGUGUGUGUUGGAGGUCUGGCCUGUGGACAGGCCCAGAUGGGGAAGGACUGUGAGAAUUGGCUGUGGGGACCAGCCAUCAGCAAGACUGGAUCCUGAAGCAGUGUGUGUGUGUGUAUGGGUGUGUGUGUGUGUAUGGGUAUGUGUGUGGCACUUACUGGUUUGCUGUGUCAUGGCUACAGGGAGCCACGUAUGUCGUCAUUCUGUCUCUCUCUCUGCAAAACUGUGAGAAAAUGGUUUGUUGCCUAGUCUCAGAGCACUCGGAGGGACAGGUGUGUUUACCUCAGUGACUCUGCUGCCCGUGGCCACUGGGUGGCUGGUUAAAGUUUGUGCUAGGCUGCUUGCUUGGUGAGAUCGGCGCAGAGGAUGAAGGGAUUGCUGACCGGCUAUUUGAGGGAUGUCCGGCGUGGGUGACUCCACCCAGAUGUCGACACUUCGCCCUGACUUGCUCCAACAGGUGCUUGUAGUGGAAAUAUGAGGGCAUGGAGUUCUUCUCGGAGCUCGGCCUUCUUAGAAAAUGGGGGAGGGGUGAAGGGCACAGGCCCUUGGGGUCCAUGGAGGAGGGGCAGGAAGGACAGGGAAGCACUGCACAGUCUGGGAGAGGACUUGCCUUUGGGAUCCUUUAACACAUUCCAGACUCAAAAUGAGCACCAGGAGGCGGGGCUUGCUGGCAACACAUGGCCUCACCAGGUCUGAGAGUCCUUAAGACAUCAAGUAAUUGACACAGUUCUGCCAAGUGAGCGUGUGAUGGCCACACUCUGUACCCAGACACUUGAGCAGUACCUCCCACCCCCACCCCUGUCCCCACCACGGCCCCCAACCUGCCCACUGGGGAUACAGGGCCAUUAUGGGGCAGGAGCACGGCCCGUGUACCAACCAGGUCCCUGUAGAUCUUCAUCACUUGUAAACGCUCCCUGCCCAGGACGGUCCUCUGUGGCAUACAGAACACUCCUUCCACCCAAAGGGCCAAGGGCAGAGAACUGGGUUGGCAGCCUGAGUUCUCAGCUGAGUCAGGGCCCCGCUCUGGCUCUCCAGGCCCUCUUGUCUCCAUGGGCUUCGGGUUCCUGCUGCAUCGGUAGGAACGUUGCUGUGCUUGGAGCUGUGUCCAUGCCAGCAGCUGGGCUAGAGCCCUGCCAGGCAGUAUGUCCCCAGGGAGGAGGGUCAGCCGAGGCUGGAAAGCCACAAGCUGAGAAGUAGUGACGUUGUCCAGCAGCUUUGCUGUGUCCCCAGUCUUGCUGGCUGCUGAACACAGAGACACAUCUACAAACACCCUAGCUACGAGGCUAGUGGCUGGAGGUGUCUCUGGCUGUACUGCCCGGUAGUCAGCCAGGACUACCGCCUCACCCCACAGAAAGCCAUCAAGCACAUGCAUGCACUUGAAUGUAUACCAGCUGCGCAGUGUGCAUGUGUCUCUUGCGGUCACGGCUCACCUGUAUCCAUGCACGUGCGACCAGCACACACCUGUUGCUGACAUCUGCUCUACGCAGACACAGCAGUUGUGAAGCACAGCGGCUCAAUGACACACGGGGAACCCCAGGACCAAAAUCACCCCGUCGGAAGCAGGAGAUGAAUGGAGCGACAUUUCGAGACAUGGCGUACAGACACCAGCUGAAUUCCUACAAAUUCACAUGAGCACUCUGAAAGGGAAGCUAAGAAACAAUUACAUAGGUGAUGGUGUCAGAUUGGGUAAAAUCCCUUAGGAACGGGAGAGGAGGUAGAUGAUUUACACCCAAACUAUCAAAUGUUUAUUAAAGGAAUUAAAGAUGUGCAAAGACAGCCCACGCUCAUGCCUUGGAAGAUUUCCAAAAGAGUUUCUUGUUAUGCAGCCCAGGCUGGCCCCGAAGUUGUAAUCCCCCUGCCUCAGCCUCCAAAUACUGGAUUACAGUACUAAUUAGAAGACUUAACAAUGCACAGGCAUUAAUGCUAGCCAAAGCAAUAUACAGGCUCAAUGCAAUUACAUACUAAAAGUCCAACAACAGUGUUUAAAGG
rnacentral:lncRNA from 1 species